rnacentral:lncRNA from 10 species
CAAAGUGCAGCGCUCCCGCUGGCUCCCUCCACCACGCUGGCCUCAGCCCCCCCGCAGGCUUCGUCAGCUCCCACCUGGCGCCGCCUCCAGGCUACUCUGUACCCCUCUGUCCCCUGAGCUGACACAAGUCAGCUUUCUCCAGCCGGCUCUCAUCCGGGCUGCACUCCACUUACCAGAGCCUUCCUGAAAUGACCACGACAAACGCUUGUGUUACCAAAUCAUGGAGGCGGCACUCACUGUGUUCUGGACACAGUGCUAAACACGCUCUACAGAGACUAACUCAAUUCACCGUUGUUGUGUAAGCGGGUGGGCAGGAUGGUGGCCUCACCUGAUGCAGUGCACACCUCCAACAGGCAUCAGAUGGAAUGCACUGGGAGCAAGAUUCUCAUAGCAAUGACAAAGAUCCCCAACACCGUCCACCACGCAGCCGCACACCCGGCCUGAGGGCCCAGGUGUGCCCUGAGAGUCGAGGGCAGAUGUAGGGGGGAGUUGGGCCUUUUUAAUCAUAGAAGCAAUGGCCCGCCUGCCACAGUCAAUGCUAAGCUCCUCAAACAUCUUGCAAGCUGCUUGCUCAGGCCUCCGACUCAGGAUUGAACUACAUGUGGCACACUCCCGCUACAAAGAAGCCCACAUCCUGGCUGUUCCGGAACAUUCCUCAGCCUCGCUGGGUGUAACUGUUAAAGGCGCAGUGUGGACGGCGGCUUGUCCUUUCCACUGAAAGAAGGAACAGGUGUCAGGGCUGGAGGGAGCUCACUCGAGGCAGGUGCCUUUCGGUUACCUGGGUUUCCUGCACCUCUCUUCUUGCAGCAUUUGCCUCUGGACGCGUGGCCUUGAGCCUGGCCCCUCGAGUUUAUCCCAGCGCUUGGUGACGAGACCCCACAUACUGCACAGGAGGACAGGCAGAGGGUCAGCCAGAGCGUGGGAUGUGGAAGUGCCACCUCCCUUUGCAGGCUGUGUGUCUUCGGAGCUUCGCUUCCAGCAGUCGCUGUGAUAGAGACUUUGAGCUACGUGGAGAUCCGUGUGGAGCUGGAAGUGAAGAUGAUGGCGUCCAAUCCACCUCCAAGGCUUAAAAAGUUGUGCAGCGCCCAACGGACACCACAUUCCAUUGGGAAGUGAUUAUGGUAGUAUGGUAGUUUAAGAAUGAAACAAAAUAUUUUUAAUUUAUGGGGAUCAUUUUUUGAAUGUCUACUAAGUUGUUAGAAUAUGAAUACUUCAGUUGUUUGUACUUAACUGUCUAAUACAUGGAACCUCUAUCUAUUUCUUUUGGCCUAGGAGGGCCGUGAAAAAAUUAGGGGGACACUCAAGGUGUUGUCACUGGAGACAGUUUGGGAGCCCCUGGAUUAUGAU